CUUGCUUUCUUGCUGACGAGCGGCGGACGGGUGAGUAAUGUAUGGGGAUCUGCCCGAUAGAGGGGGAUAACUACUGGAAACGGUGGCUAAUACCGCAUUAUGUCUACAGACCAAAGCGGGGGCUCUUCGGACCUUGCACUAUCGGAUGAACCCAUAUGGGAUUAUCUAUUAGGUGGGGAAAAGGCUCACCUAGGCGACAAUCUCUAUCUGGUCUGAGAGGAUGAUCAGCCACACUGGGACUGACACACGGCCCAGACUCCUACGGGAGGCAACAGUGGGGAAUAUUGCACAAUGGGCGCAAGCCUGAUGCACCCAUGCCGCGUGUAUGAAGAAGGCCUUAGGGUUGAAAAGUACUUUCAGCGGGGAGGAAGGUGAUAAGGUUAAUACCCUUGUCAAUUGACGUUACCCGCAAAAAAAACACCGGCUAACUCCGUGCCAACAGCCGCGGUAAUACGGAGGGUGCAAGCGUUAAUCGGAAUUACUGGGCGUAAAGCGCACGCAGGCGGUCAAUUAAGUCAUAUGUGAAACCCCCGAGCUUAACUUGGGAAUUGCAUCUGAAACUGGUUGGCUAGAGUCUUGUAGAGGGGGGUA
rnacentral:rRNA from 1 species